GGUGGAGGGAGAAGAAGGAGAAGAAGGAAGAGGGAAUUAGGAUUAGAACUUGAAUUGAAGACCUUAUUUGGUGACGAAUCGGUGAAUCAAGGAGCACCGAAAUCAUAAGGUGUUCUUUCUUUUGGAGUACAAGUUUUGCAGGCGUUGUAGAUAUCCACUACUGAUCGUUGUGGGGUUGUACGCUCGCUUAGGGUAGCAUGUCGGGAAGGCUGGACUAGUUUGGCGAAAUUUUGUAGAUAGGGAUGUAGUGCAGCCUAUGUUUAUAUCUGGUUUAUUGUAUAGUUUAAUGCUUUCUUAAGACUUCCGCUGUGUUUGUAAGAACGUUUAAGUUUUGCGUUAUCAAUAAAAUGGUUGUUGGUUAAUUUAGUUGCUAGAACUUGAGUUAUAGAAAUGGGUUGGUGGUUGAUGUUGCACCCUCACGUCGGUUUAGGCUCAUUUGAGUGCUGGC